rnacentral:rRNA from 1 species
GACGUAGGGUGCAAGCGUUGUCCGGAUUUAUUGGGCGUAAAGAGCUCGUAGGCGGUUUGUCGCGUCUGCUGUGAAAACCUCAGGCUCAACCUGGGGCUUGCAGUGGGUACGGGCAGACUAGAGUGCGGUAGGGGUGACUGGAAUUCCUGGUGUAGCGGUGGAAUGCGCAGAUAUCAGGAGGAACACCGAUGGCGAAGGCAGGUCACUGGGCCGCAACUGACGCUGAGGAGCGAAAGCAUGGGGAGCGAACAGG